ACAGCUCAUUUGGUAGAGCAUGAAACUCUUGAUCUCAGGGUCAUGGGUUCAAGCCCCAAGUUGGGCA